rnacentral:rRNA from 1 species
UAGGGAAUCUUCCACAAUGGACGCAAGUCUGAUGGAGCAACGCCGCGUGAGUGAAGAAGGUUUUCGGAUCGUAAAGCUCUGUUGUUGGUGAAGAAGGAUAGAGGCAGUAACUGGUCUUUAUUUGACGGUAAUCAACCAGAAAGUCACGGCUAACUACGUGCCAGCAGCCGCGAUAAUACGUAGGUGGCAAGCGUUGUCCGGAUUUAUUGGGCGUAAAGCGAGCGCAGGCGGAAUGAUAAGUCUGAUGUGAAAGCCCACGGCUCAACCGUGGAACUGCAUCGGAAACUGUCAUUCUUGAGUGCAGAAGAGGAGAGUGGAAUUCCAUGUGUAGCGGUGGAAUGCGUAGAUAUAUGGAAGAACACCAGUGGCGAAGGCGGCUCUCUGGUCUGCAACUGACGCUGAGGCUCGAAAGCAUGGGUAGCGAACAGG